UGUCGUCAGCUCGUGUUGUGAAAUGUUGGGUUAAGUCCCGCAACGAGCGCAACCCUUAUCCUUUGUUGCCAGCGGUCCGGCCGGGAACUCAAAGGAGACUGCCAGUGAUAAACUGGAGGAAGGUGGGGAUGACGUCAAGUCAUCAUGGCCCUUACGACCAGGGCUACACACGUGCUACAAUGGCGCAUACAAAGAGAAGCGACCUCGCGAGAGCAAGCGGACCUCAUAAAGUGCGUCGUAGUCCGGAUUGGAGUCUGCAACUCGACUCCAUGAAGUCGGAAUCGCUAGUAAUCGUGGA
rnacentral:rRNA from 1 species